rnacentral:rRNA from 1 species
GAUGAACGCUGGCGGCGUGCCUAAUACAUGCAAGUCGAGCGAACGGACGAGAAGCUUGCUUCUCUGAUGUUAGCGGCGGACGGGUGAGCAACACGUGGAUAACCUACCUAUAAGACUGGGAUAACUUCGGGAAACCGUAGCUAAUACCGGAUAAUAUUUUGAACCGCAUGGUUCAAAAGUGAAAGACGGUCUUGCUGUCACUUAUAGAUGGAUCCGCGCUGCAUUAGCUAGUUGGUAAGGUAACGGCUUACCAAGGCAACGAUGCAUAGCCGACCUGAGAGGGUGAUCGGACACACUGGAACUGAGACACGGUCCAGACUCCUACGGGAGGCAGCAGUAGGGAAUCUUCCGCAAUGGGCGAAAGCCUGACGGAGCAACGCCGCGUGAGUGAUGAAGGUCUUCGGAUCGUAAAACUCUGUUAUUAGGGAAGAACAUAUGUGUAAGUAACUGUGCACAUCUUGACGGUACCUAAUCAGAAAGCCACGGCUAACUACGUG